rnacentral:rRNA from 1 species
GACGAACGCUGGCGGCGUGCUUAACACAUGCAAGUCGAGCGGUAAGGCCCUUUCGGGGGUACACGAGCGGCGAACGGGUGAGUAACACGUGGGUGACCUGCCCUCAGCUCUGGGAUAAGCCUGGGAAACCGGGUCUAAUACCGGAUAUGACUCCAUGACGCAUGUUGUGGGGUGGAAAGCCUUGUGCGGCUGAGGAUGGGCCCGCGGCCUAUCAGCUUGUUGGUGGGGCGAUGGCCUACCAAGGCGACGACGGGUAGCCGGCCUGAGAGGGCGACCGGCCACACUGGGACUGCGACACGGGCCAGACUCCUACGGGAGGCAGCAGUAAGGAAUAUUGCGCAAUGGGCGAAAGCCUGACGCAGCGACGCCGCGUGGGGA